AUUGAACGCUGGCGGCAAGCCUAACACAUGCAAGUCGAACGAGUGGCGGACGGGUGAGUAAUGUCUGGGAAACUGCCUGAUGGAGGGGGAUAACUACUGGAAACGGUAGCUAAUACCGCAUACCAUCGGAUGUGCCCAGAUGGGAUUAGCUAGUAGGUGGGGUAAAGGGUCACCAAGGCGACGACCCCUAGCUGGUCUGAGAGGAUGACCAGCCACACUGGAACUGAGACCCGGUCCAGACUCCUCCGGUGGGCAGCAGUGGGGAAUAUUGCCCAAUGGGCGCAAGCCUGAUGCAGCCAUGCCGCGUGUAUGAAGAAGGCCUUCGGGUUGUAAAGUACUUUCAGCGUGGAGGCGUUACCCGCAGAAGAAGCACCGGCUAACUCCGUGCCAGCAGCCGCGGUAAUUC
rnacentral:rRNA from 1 species